UACGUAGGGUGCAAGCGUUAAUCGGAAUUACUGGGCGUAAAGCGUGCGCAGGCGGUUGUGCAAGACAGGUGUGAAAUCCCCGGGCUUAACCUGGGAAUUGCAUUUGUGACUGCACGGCUAGAGUGUGUCAGAGGGGGGUAGAAUUCCACGUGUAGCAGUGAAAUGCGUAGAUAUGUGGAGGAAUACCGAUGGCGAAGGCAGCCCCCUGGGAUAACACUGACGCUCAUGCACGAAAGCGUGGGGAGCAAACAGG
rnacentral:ncRNA from 2 species